ACGGGGGGUGCAAGCGUUGUUCGGAAUCAUUGGGCGUAAAGCGCGUGUAGGCGGCUUAACAAGUCAGUUGUGAAAUCCCUGGGCUUAACCCAGGAAGUGCAUGUGAAACUGUUUGGCUUGAGUAAGGGAGAGGUGAGUGGAAUUCCUGGUGUAGAGGUGAAAUCCUUUAAUACCAGGAGGACCACCGGUGGCGAAGGCGUCUCUCUGGCCCUAUACCGACAGUGAGGCGCGAAAGCGUGGGUAGCAAACAG
rnacentral:rRNA from 1 species